AUUGAACGCUGGCGGCAUGCCUUACACAUGCAGGUCGAACGGUAACGCGGGGCAACCUGGCGACGAGUGGCGAACGGGUGAGUAAUGUAUCGGAACGUGCCCAGUUGUGGGGGAUAACUGCUCGAAAGAGCAGCUAAUACCGCAUACGACCUGAGGGUGAAAGCGGGGGAUCGCAAGACCUCGCGCAAUUGGAGCGGCCGAUAUCAGAUUAGGUAGUUGGUGGGGUAAAGGCUCACCAAGCCAACGAUCUGUAGCUGGUCUGAGAGGACGACCAGCCACACUGGGACUGAGACAUGGCCCAGACUCCUACGGGAGGCAGCAGUGGGGAAUUUUGGACAAUGGACGCAAGUCUGAUCCAGCCAUGCCGCGUGCGGGAAGAAGGCCUUCGGGUUGUAAACCGCUUUUGUCAGGGAAGAAACGCUCUGGGUUAAUACCUCGGGGUAAUGACGGUACCUGAAGAAUAAGCACCGGCUAACUAUGUGCCAGCAGCCGCCGUAAAAC
rnacentral:rRNA from 1 species